AGUCGAGGGGUAUAAGUCUUCGGAUUUAGAGACCGGCGCACGGGUGCGUAACGCGUAUGCAAUCUACCUUUCACAGAGGGAUAGCCCAGAGAAAUUUGGAUUAAUACCUCAUAGUAUACUGAGUUGGCAUCAACAUGGUAUUAAAGUCACAACGGUGAAAGAUGAGCAUGCGUCCCAUUAGCUAGUUGGUAAGGUAACGGCUUACCAAGGCUACGAUGGGUAGGGGUCCUGAGAGGGAGAUCCCCCACACUGGUACUGAGACACGGACCAGACUCCUACGGGAGGCAGCAGUGAGGAAUAUUGGACAAUGGGCGCAAGCCUGAUCCAGCCAUGCCGCGUGCAGGAUGACGGUCCUAUGGAUUGUAAACUGCUUUUGCACAGGAAGAAACACUGAUUCGUGAAUCAGCUUGACGGUACUGUGAGAAUAAGGAUCGGCUAACUCCGUGCCAGCAGCCGCGGUAAUACGGAGGAUCCAAGCGUUAUCCGGAAUCAUUGGGUUUAAAGGGUCCGUAGGCGGUCUAGUAAGUCAGUGGUGAAAGCCCAUCGCUCAACGGUGGAACGGCCAUUGAUACUGCUGGACUUGAAUUACUGGGAAGUAACUAGAAUAUGUAGUGUAGCGGUGAAAUGCUUAGAGAUUACAUGGAAUACCAAUUGCGAAGGCAGGUUACUACCAGUGGAUUGACGCUGAUGGACGAAAGCGUGGGUAGCGAACAGGAUUAGAUACCCUGGUAGUCCACGCCGUAAACGAUGGAUACUAGCUGUUGGAAGCAAUUUCAGUGGCUAAGCGAAAGUGAUAAGUAUCCCACCUGGGGAGUACGUUCGCAAGAAUGAAACUCAAAGGAAUUGACGGGGGCCCGCACAAGCGGUGGAGCAUGUGGUUUAAUUCGAUGAUACGCGAGGAACCUUACCAAGGCUUAAAUGUAGUUUGACCGUUUUGGAAACAGAACUUUCGCAAGACAAAUUACAAGGUGCUGCAUGGUUGUCGUCAGCUCGUGCCGUGAGGUGUCAGGUUAAGUC
rnacentral:rRNA from 1 species